AGUAUGGAUCGAGAACUCGGGAUCGAGAGAGGAUGCGGCCGUGUGAGGCGACCUUCGCCUGCCCGAACGGUUAUGGUGAAUCGUGAGUUCAGCGGGGUGGAAACCAUGGUGAUGCGACCGACCGGGUACCCUCGUCGGGCUACGCCACGAAGAGGUGGCGCGGACAUUGAAUCGUCUACUGACGAUUCGAGUCCCUUCACCCGCGAUUCCGGAACAAAUCGGACAUGAAUGUUAAUAGGUGUGCGUCGGUCGCAGUCUCCCGAUAAUUGCAGGUUCUGUAGCUCUGUCCAUUGGAGCUUGCUUGCGACGGGUUUGCUGAAUCGCAAGGUGAAGCACUGCUUACAACUUCGACGACUUUGUGCUGAAUAAUAUGUUUGAACGACUACAUCUUCUAAUUGCUCAAGUGCCAAUGCUCUGGGCCUGUAUUGUUUCACAAAAGCACAAAUCUGCUAUGAGGGGAUCUACCUUCUGCUAAUAUUGCUCCUAACGCUCUGGCCCUGUAUUCAGUUUGGGGUAUGAAGUCCUUGUUGCCAUCUUCAUUUUUGUCACAGGAGGAUGCGAACGAUUUGUUACAAUUUGUAACCUUCUCACAUGGAAGAGCUACUCGCUACCAUUUGUAACCUUCUUUUUUGGUUGAUUACUGUGCUAUAAGGCUGUUGUAUUCCUGUUCAGGCUGUUACUGCAGAAUUUUCUGCUACCUAUGAUGUAAGACUGAAUGGCCGUUUUUAAUAAGUUUUCUCAAAGUUGAA